GUUAGCUGCAGAAGAAGCACCGGCUAACUCCCGUGCCAGCAGCCCGCGGUAAUACGGAGGGUGCGAGCGUUAAUCGGAAUUACUGGGCGUAAAGCGCAUGCAGGUGGUUUGUUAAGUCAGAUGUGAAAGCCCGGGGCUCAACCUCGGAAUUGCAUUUGAAACUGGCAGGCUAGAGUACUGUAGAGGGGGGUAGAAUUUCAGGUGUAGCGGUGAAAUGCGUAGAGAUCUGAAGGAAUACCGGUGGCGAAGGCGGCCCCCUGGACAGAUACUGACACUCAGAUGCGAAAGCGUGGGGAGCAAACAGGAUUAGAUACCCUGGUAGUCCACGCCGUAAACGAUGUCUACUUGGAGGUUGUGGCCUUGAGCCGUGGCUUUCGGAGCUAACGCGUUAAGUAGACCGCCUGGGGAGUACGGUCGCAAGAUUAAAACUCAAAUGAAUUGACGGGGGCCCGCACAAGCGGUGGAGCAUGUGGUUUAAUUGGAUGCAACGCGAAGAACCUUACCUACUCUUGACAUCCUGUGAACUUAGCAGAGAUGCUUUGGUGCCUUCGGGAACUC
rnacentral:rRNA from 1 species